rnacentral:rRNA from 1 species
AGAGUUUGAUGGUGGCUCAGAUUGAACGCUGGCGGCAGGCCUAACACAUGCAAGUCGAGCGGAAACGAGUUAUCUGAACCUUCGGGGAACGAUAACGGCGUCGAGCGGCGGACGGGUGAGUAAUGCCUGGGAAAUUGCCCUGAUGUGGGGGAUAACCAUUGGAAACGAUGGCUAAUACCGCAUAAUAGCUUCGGCUCAAAGAGGGGGACCUUCGGGCCUCUCGCGUCAGGAUAUGCCCAGGUGGGAUUAGCUAGUUGGUGAGGUAAAGGCUCACCAAGGCAACGAUCCCUAGCUGGUCUGAGAGGAUGAUCAGCCACACUGGAACUGAGACACGGCCCAGACUCCUACGGGAGGCAGCAGUGGGGAAUAUUGCACAAUGGGCGCAAGCCUGAUGCAGCCAUGCCGCGUGUGUGAAGAAGGCCUUCGGGUUGUAAAGCACUUUCAGUAAGGAGGAAAGGUUAAGUGUUAAUAGCACUUAGCUGUGACGUUACUUACAGAAGAAGCACCGGCUAACUCCGUGCCAGCAGCCGCGGUAAUACGGAGGGUGCGAGCGUUAAUCGGAAUUACUGGGCGUAAAGCGUACGCAGGCGGUUUGUUAAGCGAGAUGUGAAAGCCCCGGGCUCAACCUGGGAACUGCAUUUCGAACUGGCAAACUAGAGUGUGAUAGAGGGUGGUAGAAUUUCAGGUGUAGCGGUGAAAUGCGUAGAGAUCUGAAGGAAUACCGAUGGCGAAGGCAGCCACCUGGGUCAACACUGACGCUCAUGUACGAAAGCGUGGGGGAGCAAACAGGAUUAGAUACCCUG